UGGAUCCAGACUUUGAUCAUGGCUCAGGAUGAACGCUAGCUACAGGCUUAACACAUGCAAGUCGAGGGGAAACGACAUCGAAAGCUUGCUUUUGAUGGGCGUCGACCGGCGCACGGGUGAGUAACGCGUAUCCAACCUGCCCACCACUUGGGGAUAACCUUGCGAAAGUAAGACUAAUACCCAAUGACGUCUCUAGAAGACAUCUGAAGGAGAUUAAAGAUUUAUCGGUGAUGGAUGGGGAUGCGUCUGAUUAGCUUGUUGGCGGGGUAACGGCCCACCAAGGCGACGAUCAGUAGGGGUUCUGAGAGGAAGGUCCCCCACAUUGGAACUGAGACACGGUCCAAACUCCUACGGGAGGCAGCAGUGAGGAAUAUUGGUCAAUGGACGAGAGUCUGAACCAGCCAAGUAGCGUGCAGGAUGACGGCCCUAUGGGUUGUAAACUGCUUUUAUAAGGGAAUAAAGUGAGUCUCGUGAGACUUUUUGCAUGUACCUUAUGAAUAAGGACCGGCUAAUUCCGUGCCAGCAGCCGCGGAAAUACGGAAGGUCCGGGCGUUAUCCGGAUUUAUUGGGUUUAAGGGGAGCGUAGGCCGGAGAUUAAGCGUGUUGUGAAAUGUAGACGCUCAACGUCUGCACUGCAGCGCGAACUGGUUUCCUUGAGUACGCACAAAGUGGGCGGAAUUCGUGGUGUAGCGGUGAAAUGCUUAGAUAUCACGAAGAACUCCGAUUGCGAAGGCAGCUCACUGGAGCGCAACUGACGCUGAAGCUCGAAAGUGCGGGUAUCGAACAGGAUUAGAUACCCUGGUAGUCCGCACGGUAAACGAUGGAUGCCCGCUGUUGGUCUGAAUAGGUCAGCGGCCAAGCGAAAGCAUUAAGCAUCCCACCUGGGGAGUACGCCGGCAACGGUGCAACUCAAAGGAAUUGACGGA
rnacentral:rRNA from 2 species